rnacentral:tRNA from 1 species
UACUUUAUAGAGCAAUAGUAGCUCGCUUAACUUCCACUUAAGAGAUUGUAGGUGCGAUUCCUACUAAAGUAACCA